GGUUAAGUUGUCAAGGGCGAAC
rnacentral:rRNA from 1 species